rnacentral:rRNA from 1 species
UACGUAGGGCGCAAGCGUUAUCCGGAAUUAUUGGGCGUAAAGAGCUCGUAGGCGGUUUGUCGCGUCUGCCGUGAAAGUCCGGGGCUCAACUCCGGAUCUGCGGUGGGUACGGGCAGACUAGAGUGAUGUAGGGGAGACUGGAAUUCCUGGUGUAGCAGUGAAAUGCGCAGAUAUCAGGAGGAACACCGAUGGCGAAGGCAGGUCUCUGGGCCACUACUGACGUGAGAAGCGAAAGCAUGGGGAGCGAACAGG